UCCAGACCAAGAAACAAGCAAGCUUUAAUUUCUGAGUACACAAUUAUUGCUACGCCAGUAGCAACCUGCAUCUUUGUCUUAUCUCUUCAGCCUCUUAGAGGUCUCAAGACACUGUCAAAGCUUUCCUUUACUCUAUUAAACUCCCUUAAGCAUUACUUAUAUUAUUCAAGUUUAAGACACAGCAAAUCUACCCAAGUGUAUAUGGCUGGUUCACUUCUUAUAAAUGAAUCCAUUAGAAAGUGUCCCCUAAUUCAUCACUAUUUUCUCUAACCUGCUUGAUUUUCUAAAAGUGGAAAAAAUAAUUCUGGUGUACUAAAACCAGAGCCCAGGUUUUUCAACAUCUUCAGUUAAAUGAUCUUUAAUUCCCCAAUCAAGUUAUAACACACAAAUGUUAUCUGCGCUUUACAGCAUAAAACUCUUGAGCAGCUGGUGUCUUUUGGAUGGUGUAACCAUUACACAGCAGUAUAUGCUUGUCACCCUGGUCUUCUUUAGCCUCAAAAAAUAUUCAGAAUUUGUUAUCCACACGGAAGAGUUCUUAUAGCAGCACACUCAGUUACAAAAAGACCAAAAAAAUUUUUAUUGCUUUACAACAAGCCAGCAACAAACACAACUGAAUAAUUAUAAACAUGACACUUCUAAAUCCUCAAAUGGAAUUCCAAGACCAGAGUGUGCUUCUCCAUGUAAAUUGCAUUUGUUAAAACUAAAAUCCACAACCUCUGGCAAGUACUUCAAUAUUCUCAAGCAGAAUCAAUACUUAAAGAGGGGGAAAAAAAACCCUAUUAUCCAACUUAUUGCCUUAUGUGUGAUGAUAUAAUUAGCCUUUCAUGCUUGAUCCUGGCUGUGCUAUUACCGCACAUUUUAAGUGACCAUCAUGGGCACUUUUAAGAACCUAACACUUUUGUCUUCCUACAAACUUCACAAAAAGAGCUGUCAAAAAAAUUGUUCUAAAAUCCCAAUGCACAGUAACUCAUGUCUCCUUUUAACUUCUUUCCUCUCGAUGGAAAAACGUAGUCAGCCUUUAACUUGGGGCCUGAUAAAAGCUGUGAAGGGCAUGCCAAAUAGCCCCUCACACAAACAGGAAGCCCAAAUUGUUGAUCAGGUAAGAAAAGGUGACACUGUUAGAUACUUCAUAUUAUUUUGAAGAGCACUUUCCUUUCUGUGGGUGCAAAAUAACUAUGGAUUAAGUCACCAUUUUAAUCAUCUCAAUUCAAUAACAAGAGUUUCCUGGCACAUACUUUUAGUACUACCUGAAAAUUGGGGCAUGGGGGAAAGACCACCAGCAGUAUUUACAUGACUUGCCUCAAACUGUACAUUUAAAACCUGACUGUUGGGAUAAGUCACCAACACCCUGAAAUUUCCUACUCUAAAACACAUUGCCAAAUCCCACUGACUUAUUUUGUGUGUGCUUUUGUGUUUUAUAUUUUCAUAUAGAGAUGGGGUCUCACUCUGUUGUCCAGGCUGGUCUCAAACUCCUGAACUCAAGCUAUCCCCCUGCCUCGGCCUCCCAAUGCGCUGGGAUUACAGGUGUGAGCCACCACACCCGACCUGGUUUAUUUAUAAUUCACUAUAUCUUUCUUCCAAAGAAAGCAUUUUCCUCUAACAAUAUAAUGGUCAGGAUUUUGCUUAUUAACUUGCGCGGGUGGCUUUAUACUCUCAGAUGAAAUGAUCUUGCUGACUGCUGGGAAAAAGGUUUUAUAGUUUAGGAAUAUAUCACAUAACGUGUUAGUUCCAAAUGUACAUGAAGACAAUUUUUAAUUGCUGCAAUAGCAGAACAUUAAGGCAACAUCAGAAAGCAGAGGUGUUUUAAAACACUAAGCCCUACUCCCUGCCUGGUGGA